AGCGUACACGGUGGAUGCCCUGGCAGUCAGAGGCGAUGAAGGACGUGCUAAUCUGCGAUAAGCGUCGGUAAGGUGAUAUGAACCGUUAUAACCGGCGAUUUCCGAAUGGGGAAACCCAGUGUGUUUCGACACACUAUCAUUAACUGAAUCCAUAGGUUAAUGAGGCGAACCGGGGGAACUGAAACAUCUAAGUACCCCGAGGAAAAGAAAUCAACCGAGAUUCCCCCAGUAGCGGCGAGCGAACGGGGAGCAGCCCAGAGUCUGAAUCAGUGUGUGUGUUAGUGGAAGCGUCUGGAAAGGCGCGCGAUACAGGGUGACAGCCCCGUACACAAAAAUGCACAUACUGUGAGCUCGAUGAGUAGGGCGGGACACGUGGUAUCCUGUCUGAAUAUGGGGGGACCAUCCUCCAAGGCUAAAUACUCCUGACUGACCGAUAGUGAACCAGUACCGUGAGGGAAAGGCGAAAAGAACCCCGGCGAGGGGAGUGAAAAAGAACCUGAAACCGUGUACGUACAAGCAGUGGGAGCCUCUUUUAUGGGGUGACUGCGUACCUUUUGUAUAAUGGGUCAGCGACUUAUAUUCUGUAGCAAGGUUAACCGAAUAGGGGAGCCGAAGGGAAACCGAGUCUUAACUGGGCGUUAAGUUGCAGGGUAUAGACCCGAAACCCGGUGAUCUAGCCAUGGGCAGGUUGAAGGUUGGGUAACACUAACUGGAGGACCGAACCGACUAAUGUUGAAAAAUUAGCGGAUGACUUGUGGCUGGGGGUGAAAGGCCAAUCAAACCGGGAGAUAGCUGGUUCUCCCCGAAAGCUAUUUAGGUAGCGCCUCGUGAAUUCAUCUCCGGGGGUAGAGCACUGUUUCGGCAAGGGGGUCAUCCCGACUUACCAACCCGAUGCAAACUGCGAAUACCGGAGAAUGUUAUCACGGGAGACACACGGCGGGUGCUAACGUCCGUCGUGAAGAGGGAAACAACCCAGACCGCCAGCUAAGGUCCCAAAGUCAUGGUUAAGUGGGAAACGAUGUGGGAAGGCCCAGACAGCCAGGAUGUUGGCUUAGAAGCAGCCAUCAUUUAAAGAAAGCGUAAUAGCUCACUGGUCGAGUCGGCCUGCGCGGAAGAUGUAACGGGGCUAAACCAUGCACCGAAGCUGCGGCAGCGACGCUUAUGCGUUGUUGGGUAGGGGAGCGUUCUGUAAGCCUGUGAAGGUGUGCUGUGAGGCAUGCUGGAGGUAUCAGAAGUGCGAAUGCUGACAUAAGUAACGAUAAAGCGGGUGAAAAGCCCGCUCGCCGGAAGACCAAGGGUUCCUGUCCAACGUUAAUCGGGGCAGGGUGAGUCGACCCCUAAGGCGAGGCCGAAAGGCGUAGUCGAUGGGAAACAGGUUAAUAUUCCUGUACUUGGUGUUACUGCGAAGGGGGGACGGAGAAGGCUAUGUUGGCCGGGCGACGGUUGUCCCGGUUUAAGCGUGUAGGCUGGUUUUCCAGGCAAAUCCGGAAAAUCAAGGCUGAGGCGUGAUGACGAGGCACUACGGUGCUGAAGCAACAAAUGCCCUGCUUCCAGGAAAAGCCUCUAAGCAUCAGGUAACAUCAAAUCGUACCCCAAACCGACACAGGUGGUCAGGUAGAGAAUACCAAGGCGCUUGAGAGAACUCGGGUGAAGGAACUAGGCAAAAUGGUGCCGUAACUUCGGGAGAAGGCACGCUGAUAUGUAGGUGAAGUCCCUCGCGGAUGGAGCUGAAAUCAGUCGAAGAUACCAGCUGGCUGCAACUGUUUAUUAAAAACACAGCACUGUGCAAACACGAAAGUGGACGUAUACGGUGUGACGCCUGCCCGGUGCCGGAAGGUUAAUUGAUGGGGUCAGCGCAAGCGAAGCUCUUGAUCGAAGCCCCGGUAAACGGCGGCCGUAACUAUAACGGUCCUAAGGUAGCGAAAUUCCUUGUCGGGUAAGUUCCGACCUGCACGAAUGGCGUAAUGAUGGCCAGGCUGUCUCCACCCGAGACUCAGUGAAAUUGAACUCGCUGUGAAGAUGCAGUGUACCCGCGGCAAGACGGAAAGACCCCGUGAACCUUUACUAUAGCUUGACACUGAACAUUGAGCCUUGAUGUGUAGGAUAGGUGGGAGGCUUUGAAGUGUGGACGCCAGUCUGCAUGGAGCCGACCUUGAAAUACCACCCUUUAAUGUUUGAUGUUCUAACGUUGACCCGUAAUCCGGGUUGCGGACAGUGUCUGGUGGGUAGUUUGACUGGGGCGGUCUCCUCCUAAAGAGUAACGGAGGAGCACGAAGGUUGGCUAAUCCUGGUCGGACAUCAGGAGGUUAGUGCAAUGGCAUAAGCCAGCUUGACUGCGAGCGUGACGGCGCGAGCAGGUGCGAAAGCAGGUCAUAGUGAUCCGGUGGUUCUGAAUGGAAGGGCCAUCGCUCAACGGAUAAAAGGUACUCCGGGGAUAACAGGCUGAUACCGCCCAAGAGUUCAUAUCGACGGCGGUGUUUGGCACCUCGAUGUCGGCUCAUCACAUCCUGGGGCUGAAGUAGGUCCCAAGGGUAUGGCUGUUCGCCAUUUAAAGUGGUACGCGAGCUGGGUUUAGAACGUCGUGAGACAGUUCGGUCCCUAUCUGCCGUGGGCGCUGGAGAACUGAGGGGGGCUGCUCCUAGUACGAGAGGACCGGAGUGGACGCAUCACUGGUGUUCGGGUUGUCAUGCCAAUGGCACUGCCCGGUAGCUAAAUGCGGAAGAGAUAAGUGCUGAAAGCAUCUAAGCACGAAACUUGCCCCGAGAUGAGUUCU
rnacentral:rRNA from 1 species